UCGAAUCCCGCAACGAGCAGACCGCGCACACGUACAUGCCGCACGGGGCACCCGACGGGAAGGUGCGCGUGCGCCUCCCGUUGGUUGCCCCGCCGCGCCCGCCCGACCCUCGCGCGAGCGAGUCCGACAGCGGGGCCUUCAAUAUACCCACGGCGCAGAAAGGCGCCAAGGAUCACAAACGCGGAGCGCCGCCCCCAUCGUGCACCCGUUCGUGGUUUGCCGGUCGGGGGUUGAGCGUCUCCCAAGAUUGAAUACGGAAAACAAU
rnacentral:misc_RNA from 1 species